rnacentral:lncRNA from 1 species
AAUGGAUGCUACUCAGAUACAUCUACAAAAAAAUGGUCAUCUUACUCUUGGAGUUCAGCACUGGGCAGAUCAGAAACUUUUCAGUAUCCCUUUUUAUCACAGAAGUCCUACCAACAAUCUAAUGCUUUACAUUGUGCACAUGAAGAACAUCACUGAAGUGUUUAUUAAUAGACUUUGGGCAAGAAAACGAUGUGGUUGACUGAAAAAAGUACUAGUUUUAGAAUACAUUUGCAAACUAGGCAACGGGGUAAGUUGUUAAGUCUUUCUAAGACUCAUUUUGCUCCU